GCCUCCGGAUAUCACUUUAGUGGGAGCAAGCGUACGCCAAGAAGUCAUCAGUAAGCAUACCACGGAAGUCAAAAAGGAUGAUGAGGCACUUGGCAGGGCUGGAAGAGCCCUCGAAGUUCUAGGACAGCUGCUGCAAGGCAAGGAAACGCUGGAAGACACAAACGACAAGGUCGGGGAUGUCGUGUCUGCUUUGCAGCAGUUUAAUGCCUCACAGGACGGCCUCGACGGUGCCACAUCCGAGUACUUCUGGAAGAAGAUCAGGCGGGCAGUUGAAAACGUAGCGAAAGUCGUCGCAAUCAACAAGGCCGUUGGCAUUGUCGCCGGUGCGCUUGGUUAGAAUGCUUUUUAGAGAAGCGAAAAAAAAGGGCUGCUUUCGCACUUCCAUGUUCUACACUGUAAUAAACAAUAGGGAGUUCCUUGUUAUUAUGCAUUCUUUCUGUCUCGCUUAAUUUUUCAGGUGACGUUAGUGUCAACGAUAAGUUUACAGAGUUCACAAAACAGACUAUUAAGAAUAUCAGAGGGGCGAGCUUUCCGAGAGUGCAGCCCCACGCAACUGUUAUGGUUGCGUGUGGUUUAUCUCGAUAUUAUUUCGCGUGCAUGCUAAAUUGAAUGGACGCACAAUACAACGAGCAUUCAGGCAGAGGCUCAGCAUGCCCUUGAAGCUAGAGUAGAUUAAUAAUUUUUUCCGUUCUUGUUCAUGCACAUGCUGCCUACGCACCAUCACUGCGCAUACGGCAUAUGGGCACUCUGCCUAUUACGAAAGUAUCUUUCAUGACGCCUAGAGGAGACAAUGCCAUAAAGGAGAAUAUUCAAUGAUUCAUGUUUUUU